CCCGGCUAAAGCCCCGACGGGAGGGGAUGGCUCCGCGGCCCAUCAGGUAGACGGCGGGGUGACGGCCCACCGUGCCGACAAUCGGGUAGCCGGGUUGAGAGGCGGACCGGCCAGAUUGGGAGUGAGACACGGCCCAGACUCCUACGGGAGGCAGCAGUGGGGAAUCUUGCGCAAGGGGGGGAACCCUGACGCAGCGACGCCGCG
rnacentral:rRNA from 1 species